AACCUGGUUGAUCCUGCCAGUAGUCAUACGCUCGUCUCAUUAGAUUAAGCCAUGCAUGUCUAAGUAUAAAUACUUUUACUUUGAAACUGCGAACGGCUCAUUAUAUCAGUUAUAGUUUAUUUGAUAGUCCCUUACUACUUGGAUAACCGUAGUAAUUCUACGAGCUAAUACAUGCAUCAAUACCCAACUGUUCGCGGACGGGUAGUAUUUAUUAGAUAGAAACCAACCCUCUUCGGAGGCGCUCAGGUGAUUCAUGAUAACUCUGCGAAUCGCAUGGCCUCGGUGCCGGCGAUGGAUCAUUCAAGUUUCUGCCCUAUCAGCUUUGGAUGGUAGGGUAUCGGCCUACCAUGGCUU
rnacentral:rRNA from 1 species